rnacentral:snoRNA from 1 species
CUUCCUGUUUUUAGUACCGCCCAUCUGCCUCCUUUACAGAUGUUCGGCUAUGCUAACAGGAUAGAGAGAUUGUCCGUCAUUGUCUGAAGGGGUUGGGCGGCCUCCGUUCCGCCACCUCUAUAUGAAAUAACGGCACAUUUAUAU